AACUAUGUACAGGAGGUUUCGGGUUGGAGGAGGUGGAGGUCAGUUACAGCUAAAGAGGAGGCAUCAGGAGCAGGAGGAGGUAUGAAGAACAAACAGUCCUUUUGUUUUGUUCACAGCAUUGGUCUUCUCCUGACCUUUGACUUGAGGUUGAGCAGCUCCACCGGUACCAUUAGAACAUGCUUUUUCGCAAGGUGCUUCCUGCAGUUUUGGAGCUUCUAGCUGAACUUCAUCCGUUUCACUCUGACUCUCCGUCUCCAACAUCUCUACAGUUUUUUCCAUCCAACAAAAGGUUGGAUAACUUUUCGUCCCCGCCUUUGGUCUUCGCCGGCAUCCGUUAUCCUUCAGCUCAGAUUGAGAGAUGAACUGCACAUCAUCAUCUUCAACACACCCGCUGUCUUCAUACUCAAUGUCCAUUAGGAUGUCAGUGAGUUGUGGAGUGAGGUCAGACUGGGAUGAAGUAGUUGACAGUGUUAUCACCUCAGUAUAUUCAACAUCUGAGUUAAGCAGAGCAGAUCCAACUGGCAGUGGAUUUGACUCUAAAGAAUGAAAGGACAAAAAAGAGUUAAGGUGCUGAAGCAAAGUAAGCAACAUCUAACACCAGCAGCUCAGACACUGAAGAAUAAAAGCAUUUGACCUCCUCAUGUGCUGGAGCUGAUGUACGUGGAGCAACUGGUGUUGGCAAAGAAGAUGGAGACAGUCUGAAUGUUUCAAGCUCAAAAGACAACACAGUUUUAUCUUGCAGCUUUCUUCAGCUUUGUCUUCUGAGUAUCUUGAGGAUUUGGACUGAAUGACGCACUUCCAACCGGCAGUUCACUGGACCCUAAAGAAAGAAGGAAUGGAGAGAGUUGUAAAGUUUUUACCUCAACACACAAUAGAGUUGUAUAAUAUCACAUCUUUGUAAUCUUAAACUGUUACCUUCAU